GACGAACGCUGGCGGCGUGCUUAACACAUGCAAGUCGAACGGUAAGGCCCUUCGGGGUACACGAGUGGCGAACGGGUGAGUAACACGUGGGUGAUCUGCCCUGCACUUCGGGAUAAGCCUGGGAAACUGGUCUAAUACCGGAUAGGACCACUGCCUGCAUGGGUGGUGGUGGAAAGCUUUUGCGGUGUGGGAUGGGCCCGCGGCCUAUCAGCUUGUUGGUGGGGUGAUGGCCUACCAAGGCGACGACGGGUAGCCGGCCUGAGAGGGUGACCGGCCACACUGGGACUGAGAUACGGCCCAGACUCCUACGGGAGGCAGCAGUGGGGAAUAUUGCACAAUGGGCGCAAGCCUGAUGCAGCGACGCCGCGUGAGGGAUGACGGCCCUCGGGUUGUAAACCUCUUUCAGCACCGACGAAGCGCAAGUGACGGUAGGUGCAGAAGAAGGACCGGCCAACUACGUGCCAGCAGCCGCCGUAA
rnacentral:rRNA from 1 species